rnacentral:lncRNA from 12 species
GUCACCUCGUGUCUGGCUUCCCGAUGGGGCACGAGGCCCAGCCCCGGGGCCGGGAUGCGUCCAGUUGGAGAGGAGGCCGUGCAAGAAGCUGGGCCCGGGUCUCAGGCCAGGGGGCCCCUCCACCCCCGGAGCAGGGGAGGGUGCUGGGCGUCCAGGGCGGGGGCACCUCAGGCCACAGGCGGGAGGGCGGAGUGGACCCGGCGAGACCAGGGCAUGGGAAUGGAUCGGAACCGGGGGCUGAGGAUGAAGAGGAUCCUGCCAGGAAAUGGGGGGGGGGCGCAGGCGGAGGGCCAGGCUGGGGAGGGAGACAGGGUGCUGAGCCGACACACAAGGGACCAGGGGUGCGGCGGCUGUGAGCCCGAGGCCCGGACCCUGAUGGGCCCACACUCUGCCCCCAGGGACCGCCGCCAGCCAGAGCGCCGCUCCGGGCCUCAGUUUCCCCCUCUGUGAAGUGGGCUGAGGCGAGCCCGAUGUGGCUGGGAGGCAUCGGUGCAGCGCGUGUGGCGGCCCCUCGGCUCAGCCAGCGCCGGGGAGACAGAGGACCCGCUCCCUCGCCCCUGGGGUGCAAGGGGGACGGAGCCCGGGGGCCAGGUCCUGCCCCUGCCUGUCCUCGGGGCGCCCAGACACAGCUCCCCCCGCGAGGGCCCGGGGGACCUGGGGACAAGGAAAGAGCAACAAACCCCAGCCCAGUGUUUUCGGUUCUGGUCCUGAACAAAGCCGUCCCGGGCUGGUUGCUGAGCAAACACUGCAGGAGGCGGGCCCAGGGCUGACGCAGGCUGGGUGUGCUCAGGCUACGGGCGCCUGCCACCCUGGGACCCCGGGUGCCCCGUCCGCCACCUGUGGGAGGACCCUUCAGGGGCUGGGGUCCCGGGGAGUCCUGGCUGCAGACACGCCCGGCCGCCCCCCCCCCACCGGGACAACAGGGGGGUUUUGCUCUGGACUCUGGGGUUUCUGUGACGGGACUUUCGGGGCUAGAACUGGGCCAGGCCUGAGCGAAGCAGAAGGUUGGUCACCCCACGGGGGUCCAGGAAUUGGGAGUCUGCGGGGAAGAUUUCUCGGAGAUGAUGAUGCUCACGGCACCUGCCGCUUCCACCGCCGCCGCCCCCCCUGCCCCCCCGCUCCCCUCUCUGGAGGAGUCAUAGAACCAACUGCGUGGACUGGAAGGUGCUGCCCCCCCGCCCCCCCGACCCCCCAGCCCUGGCAGCUCCAAUUGCACCACGGCCCAGGCCCCGACCCGGCCAGUGAGCCACAGGCUGCGAGGCUGCAGGGAGGAUCCCCAGGGCCCCACCGAGCCCCCAGCCCCCACAUCCAGGGUGACUUCCAACAAACCACCUGACCCCCGCCCCCCUUCCCGGCUGGGAGACGGGGAGGGUGACAUUGAGCGCCGGCUCUGGGGCGUCCUAAGGGUUAACUAAUUAAUGGUUGGAAAGUGCUUUGAAAAAAUAAAGUGCUGGAUAAUGGGAAGGGCA